rnacentral:sRNA from 1 species
AGGCAAACAAAGGAUAAUGGAUAAGAAUUGCUAUGCUACUGGAGCUAUUUCAGGUUAUGAACCGAUUCGGGCCAAACUUGGCUGGGUGUUAGAGAACAUAGAAGAUGCCUUGUGUAAAAUUUCAGCCAAAUCGGGGUUUAAAAAAGGAAUAUACCCAACUGGAAUGAGUGCUAUUGGAUAGUGUGUUGUGUUAACUGUUUACUUUGUUAUAACUUUUUUUACAUACAAAAAAAUAUAAAAAAUAGCUAUCUCAAUUGUGAAAA